UACAGAGGUCUCAAGCGUUUGUUCGGAUUCAUUGGGCGUAAAGGGUGCGUAGGCGGCGCGGUAAGUCGGAUGUGAAAUCUCGGAGCUUAACUCGAAACUGCAUUCGAUACUGCCGUGCUUGAGGACUGGAGAGGAGACUGGAAUUUACGGUGUAGCGGUGAAAUGCGUAGAUAUCAUAAGGGAAGACCAGUGGCGAAGGCGGGUCUCUGGACAGUUCCUGACGUGAGGCACGAAGGUCAGGGGAGCAAACGGG
rnacentral:rRNA from 1 species